rnacentral:lncRNA from 1 species
AUGCAGAAGCCAAGUUUCUGUUCCCCCAUGGGUACUUCCUUCUUUCUCUUGCCAUUCCCAUUCUUCCCCUCAGCUCCUGCUGCUCCCUGCUAUGGUAUGAAACACUCAAAGGAUGGGAUACAGACAAGGGCACUGGGGUCGGGGUGGGGGGUGGUGUGGGCAGAGCAUUUCUUCCCCUCUGAGAUGUCCUCACGCAGGGUAAUGCCCACAACAUUUGCUUUGGGUAAAAUUUCUUUCUGUGGAUCAGUCCCUAGCACUUUCAGAGAGUUCAGAAAAUUUUGUGACUUAUAUAUCUGUUUUUUUUUUUUUUUGCUUUGGAGAAUUUCUCAGUUUCUCAAAGAAAGACUAGACUACAACAUGAAGACUGCUUAUCUCUCCCUGGCCUCAAGUCAUUUUCCUUUCCAAGAGGGAGUUUUCAGUGAAGAGACCUUUUCCUGUGAAUCAUGCUCCCUUCUGCAGUAUUUCGUGUGUCCCAGCAGUAGACACAAAGAUCUGUAUCUGUGUGCAUAUAUCUGUCCAACAGCUUGUGAAUAAUCCUAUCUCAUCAAAAGCAUGUCCUCUGAAAAUCUGUAGGAAGUUCACGUCCACAGAUUUUCACCCCUGUCAUCCAUUCCUAAUGCCAGCUCACAGUAAAAUAGGAAAUUUUUACUCUCUGAUGGUGUGAAGGCACGGUAGGGGAAGCUGGAGAAGACAGACUGUCACAGAAUCAUGAUUAAUCCUAUGAUAAUAACCCAGCCAUGCAAAUUAACACAGACCUAUACUCUGUAACAGAUUAGGCCAAGAUUGAAGGAAAUUGAGGUGUUCAGUUCAGUUUAGUUCAGUUCAGUUCAGUUGCUCAGUUGUGUCCGACUCUUUG